GCGCGAAAACUUUACAAUGCUGGCAACAGCGAUAAGGGAACCUCGAGUGCCAGGUUACAAAUCUGGCUGUCGAGAUGCCUAAAAAGCAUUUCAUAGCAAGGGCCGGGCAAGACCGGUGCCAGCCGCCGCGGUAACACCGGCGGCUCGAGUGGUAACCGUUAUUAUUGGGUCUAAAGGGUCUGUAGCCGGCCGGAUAAGUCUCUUGAGAAAUCUGGCAGCUUAACUGCCAGGCUUUCAGGAGAUACUGUCUGGCUCGAGGCCGGGAGAGGUGAGAGGUACUUCGGGGGUAGGGGUGAAGUCGUGUAAUCCUUGAGGGACCAGCAGGGGGGAAGGGGUGUCACCAGAACGGACCUGACGGCAAGGGACGA
rnacentral:rRNA from 1 species